rnacentral:tRNA from 1 species
GCCGCCAUAGAGCUCAGUGGCAGAGCGCUUUCUUGGGUAAGAAAGAGGUCUCGGGUUCAACCCCCGAUGGUGGCUCCA